rnacentral:tRNA from 1 species
UUGUUGGUGGUUCAGUGGUAGAAUUCUUGCCUUUCAUGUGGAAAAUCUGUGUUUGAUUCUCUGCCAACACA